CCUACGGGAGGCAGCAGUGGGGAAUCUUGCGCAAUGGGCGAAAGCCUGACGCAGCCAUGCCGCGUGAAUGAUGAAGGUCUUAGGAUUGUAAAAUUCUUUCACCGGGGACGAUAAUGACGGUACCCGGAGAAGAAGCCCCGGCUAACUUCGUGCCAGCAGCCGCGGUAAUACGAAGGGGGCUAGCGUUGCUCGGAAUUACUGGGCGUAAAGGGAGCGUAGGCGGAUAGUUUAGUCAGAGGUGAAAGCCCAGGGCUCAACCUUGGAAUUGCCUUUGAUACUGGCUAUCUUGAGUAUGGGAGAGGUAUGCGGAACUCCGAGUGUAGAGGUGAAAUUCGUAGAUAUUCGGAAGAACACCAGUGGCGAAGGCGGCAUACUGGCCCAUUACUGACGCUGAGGCUCGAAAGCGUGGGGAGCAAACAGGAUUAGAUACCCUGGUAGUCCACGCUGUAAACGAUGAGUGCUAGUUGUCGGCAUGCAUGCAUGUCGGUGACGCAGCUAACGCAUUAAGCACUCCGCCUGGGGAGUACGGUCGCAAGNUUAAAACUCAAAUGAAUUGACGG
rnacentral:rRNA from 1 species